rnacentral:misc_RNA from 1 species
UCUCCGUAGGUGAACCUGCGGAGGGAUCAUUACCGAGUGAGGGUUCCGGCCCGACCUCCAACCCUUUGUGAAUUCGACCCAGUUGCCUCGGGGGCGACCCGGCCUUCGGGCGUCGGGGCCCCCGGUGGACCACCCAACCCUGCAUCGUUGCGUCGGAGUUAAAGUAAAUUAAACAAAACUUUCAACAACGGAUCUCUUGGUUCCAGCAUCGAUGAAGAACGCAGC